UACGUAGGGUGCGAGCGUUGUCCGGAAUUAUUGGGCGUAAAGGGCUCGUAGGCGGUUUGUCGCGUCGGGAGUGAAAACCUCGGGCUUAACUCGGGGCUUGCUUUCGAUACGGGCAGACUUGAGUUCGGUAGGGGAGACUGGAAUUCCUGGUGUAGCAGUGAAAUGCGCAGAUAUCAGGAGGAACACCGGUGGCGAAGGCGGGUCUCUGGGCCGAUACUGACGCUGAGGAGCGAAAGCGUGGGGAGCGAACAGG
rnacentral:rRNA from 1 species